rnacentral:rRNA from 1 species
AGUUGGUGGAGCGAUUUGUCUGGUUAAUUCCGAUAACGAACGAGACUCUAGCCUAUUAAAUAGUUCGCUUGUUGAUGCUGCAAGUGCAACUUCUUAGAGGGACAAGUGUAAUAUAGACACACGAGAUUGAGCAAUAACAGGU